rnacentral:rRNA from 1 species
UACGAAGGGGGCUAGCGUUGUUCGGAUUUACUGGGCGUAAAGCGCACGUAGGCGGAUCGAUCAGUCAGGGGUGAAAUCCCAGAGCUCAACUCUGGAACUGCCUUUGAUACUGGGUAUCUCGAGUAUGGAAGAGGUGAGUGGAAUUCCGAGUGUAGAGGUGAAAUUCGUAGAUAUUCGGAGGAACACCAGUGGCGAAGGCGGCUCACUGGUCCAUUACUGACGCUGAGGUGCGAAAGCGUGGGGAGCAAACAGG